AAUAGACUAAAGCAAGGAGGAAGAGCAGAGGAGCUGAACAUCCUUUCCUUCAACUAUAGCUACGCGAUCAGAUGAUUUGAAAUUUGUAGUCCCUUGAAGACCCAUCAUGGACCUGAGUAUUUGAAUUUCACUGUAGCAGAGAUGUGCUGAGCUAAAUGAAAUGAAAUGGACAAUUUUAAAGCCACUAUACACCUUGCCUUAGUUAUUACGCAAAGAAGAAAGAAGAAGGAUUUUUCUAUUGGCAGGAAAUCUCAAACGAUGUCAUAAAGAUUUGGACACAACUGAAAUGAUAGAACAACACUUGGAGGAACCAUCAAAAGACAUAACAUUGAUCUGAAGGAGACCAUCUUAUAUCCUAGCAAGCAAAAUUAAGGACAAUCAAAAAGGUUUUUAAAGCUAUUUUUGGGAAAGGGAACCAAAAAAGGAAUAGAACAUUUACUUCUGCCCUUUGUGCUGGAUAUACAAUUAAAUUCAACAGGAAUAAAAGGAAAAAUCCCUAACA
rnacentral:lncRNA from 1 species